rnacentral:rRNA from 1 species
AUCGGUUUAAAGGGUACCUAGACGGUAGAUCAAGCUUUCAAUAAGGACUAGUUUACUAGAGUUACUUAUGAGGGGGUUGUAAAGUACUGUUGGUGUAGAGAUGAAAUUCUGUCAUACCUCUUUUCAAAAGAAAAAUCACGGCACAGGUAUAGGCGAAGGCAUCCCCUUAUGUGAUAACUGACGUUGAGGGACGAAGGCUUCGUGGAACAAACAGGAUUAGAUACCCCAGUAGUUGAAGCAGAAAAUGAUGAAUGUCAUAGAUUAGAUGUCUAAGUUUAUUCUAUAAAUGAAAGUGUAAGCAUUCCACCUCAAGAGUAAUUUGGCAACAUUGGAACUGAAAUCAUUAGACCGUUUCUGAUACCAG